rnacentral:lncRNA from 1 species
AACUGGAGGGUCAGUGCACAGGAUGUGUUGAACGCUAGACAGCAUUAGAGGAGGUUUAUCCCCAGACAGACAACACUCCUUGGGUCUGUCUCUUUGUUAAUUUAUGGCGUCUUUUUCUGACUCUUUCUAAGUGUCUUGUGUUGCUUUACCUUUUCGGACUCUUUCUAAGUGUCUUGUGUUGCUUUACCUACGUUUAUGGUGUCUUUGUCAAUUUAGGGUGUCUUUUCUGACUCUUUCUUUCUAAGUGUCUUCUGUUACGCAUCAUAAAAUACGGUAGAACGAUAUGUCAUUCCUUAUUACAUAUGGC